GAAAUGCGAUAAGUAAUGUGAAUUGCAGAAUUCAGUGAAUCAUCGAAUCUUUGAACGCACCUUGCGCUCCUUGGUAUUCCUUGGAGCAUGCCUGUUUGAGUAUCAUGAAAUCUUCAAAGUAAAUCUUUUGUUAACUCAAUUGGUUUCUACUUUGGUAUUGGAGGUCUUUGCAGCUUCACACCUGCUCCUCUUUGUUCAUUAGCUGGAUCUCAGUGUUAUGCUUGGUUCCACUCGGCGUGAUAAGUUAUCUAUCGCUGAGGACACUGUAAAAGGUUGCCAAGGUAAAUGCAGAUGAACCGCUUCUAAUAGUCCAUUGACUUGGACAAUACUUUUAUGAUCUGAUCUCAAAUCAGGUAUGACUACCCGCUGAACUUAAGC
rnacentral:misc_RNA from 1 species